rnacentral:rRNA from 1 species
GACGGACGCUGGCGGCGUGCUUAACACAUGCAAGUCGAACGGAAAGGCCCUGCUUUUGUGGGGUGCUCGAGUGGCGAACGGAUGAGUAACACGUGAGUAACCUGCCCUUGACUUUGGGAUAACUUCAGGAAACUGGGGCUAAUACCGGAUAGGAGCUCCUGCUGCAUGGUGGGGGUUGGAAAGUUUCGGCGGUUGGGGAUGGAUUCGCGGCGUAUCAGCUUGUUGGUGGGGUGGUGGCUUACCAAGGCAUUGACAGGUAGCCGGCCUGAGAGGGUCACCGGCCACAUUGGGACUGAGAUACGGCCCAGACUCCUACGGGAGGCAGCGGUGGGGAAUAUUGCACAAUGGGCGGAAGCCUGAUGCAGCAACGCCGCGUGCGGGAUGACGGCCUUCUGGUUGUAAACCGCUUUCGCCUGUGACGAAGCGUGAGUGACGGUAAUGGGUAAAGAAGCACCGGCUAACUACGUG